ACAUUGGUGGCCCAGUGGUGGAAUUCUCGCCUUUCACGCAGGAGACCCAGGUUCGAUUCCCGGCCAGUGUA
rnacentral:tRNA from 1 species